UACGUAGGGUGCGAGCGUUGUCCGGAAUUAUUGGGCGUAAAGAGCUUGUAGGCGGUUUGUCGCGUCUGCUGUGAAAUCUCAAGGCUCAACCUUGAGCUUGCAGUGGGUACGGGCAGACUAGAGUGUGGUAGGGGAGACUGGAAUUCCUGGUGUAGCGGUGAAAUGCGCAGAUAUCAGGGGGAACACCGAUGGCGAAGGCAGGUCUCUGGGCCACUACUGACGCUGAGAAGCGAAAGCAUGGGGAGCGAACAGG
rnacentral:rRNA from 1 species